CCUACGGGGGGCAGCAGUGAGGAAUAUUGGUCAAUGGUCGGGAGCCUGAACCAGCCAAGCCGCGUGAGGGAUGAAGGUACAGAGUAUCGUAAACCUCUUUUGUCAGGGAAUAAAGGCGGGGACGUGUCCCGGGAUGAGUGUACCUGAAGAAAAGGCAUCGGCUAACUCCGUGCCAGCAGCCGCGGUAAUACGGAGGAUGCGAGCGUUAUCCGGAUUUAUUGGGUUUAAAGGGUGCGGAGGUGGUCUUUUAAGUAAGCGGUGAAAGCCCGGGGCUCAACCCCGGCCGUGCCGUGGAAACUGGAAGGCGCGAGUUGGAGAGAGGUAGGCGGAAUGCGCGGUGUAGCGGUGAAAUGCUUAGAUAUCGCGCAGAACUCCGAUUGCGAAGGCAGCAUGCCGGCUCCAGACUGACGCUGAGGCACGAAAGCGUGGGUAUCGAACAGGAUUAGAUACCCCAGUAGUC
rnacentral:rRNA from 1 species